GCUUGCUUUUGCUGACGACCGGCGCACGGGUGCGUAACGCGUAUGCAACCUACCUCAUACAGGAGGAUAGCCCUUGGAAACGAGGGUUAAUACUCCAUGGUAUCACGAAUUCGCAUGUUUUUGUGAUUAAAGUUUUUCGGUAUGAGAUGGGCAUGCGUCCCAUUAGCUAGUUGGUGAGGUAACGGCUCACCAAGGCGACGAUGGGUAGGGGGCCUGAGAGGGUGGUCCCCCACACUGGUACUGAGACACGGACCAGACUCCUACGGGAGGCAGCAGUGAGGAAUAUUGGUCAAUGGAGGCAACUCUGAACCAGCCAUGCCGCGUGAAGGAUGACGGCCCUAUGGGUUGUAAACUUCUUUUAUAUGGGAAGAAACUUAUCUACGUGUAGAUAACUGACGGUACCAUACGAAUAAGGAUCGGCUAACUCCGUGCCAGCAGCCGCGGUAAUACGGAGGAUCCAAGCGUUAUCCGGAUUCAUUGGGUUUAAAGGGUCCGUAGGCGGAUUUUUAAGUCAGUGGUGAAAGCCGACAGCUCAACUGUCGAACUGCCAUUGAUACUGGAGAUCUUGAGUACAAAUGAAGUAGGCGGAAUGAGUCAUGUAGCGGUGAAAUGCAUAGAUAUGACUCAGAACACCGAUUGCGAAGGCAGCUUACUAACAUGUAACUGACGCUGAGGGACGAAAGCGUGGGGAGCGAACAGG
rnacentral:rRNA from 1 species